rnacentral:lncRNA from 1 species
GUAUGACAUGAGCACAAGCCAACCUUGGAUAGUUGAAGGAAAUAACCUAGAGAGGGACCCCAAUGCUCCUUGCAUGAGAUGCAUAUCGAGUUGAAGAUAGACCUCUCCUCAUCCAAGCAUGAGAAGAGCAUGAUGGACCUUUCCUCAUCCGAGCACGAGGAGAGCACAAUGGAGCACAGUGGAUCUCUCGUCAUCCGAGCAUGAGGAGAGCAUAAUAGACCUAUCCUUAUCCAAGUACAAGGAGAGCAAGAUAAAUCUCUCCUCAUUCGAGUACGAGGAGAGCAUGGUGA